GGGGCUGACGCGGGGGGGCGGCACCGCAACGCCCCGCAGAGAAAGCGGGGCUCGGGCUGGAGGGGGCGGCCCUGGAGGUGGAGCCCGCCCCGCCCGGCGAGCUGGCGGAGCCGACUCCGCCAGGCACCCCGGGGGAGGAGGGGUAAGAGCAACGAGAAGGGGAACGAGGCACCAGACCCCGGCCCCAAAGCCCCCUGCCCUUCACACCGGCGCAGCCCCGCUCCCGCCAAGCCAGGUGCCGCCUGGGGAAACCAACCGCCGCCUACAGCCAGCGUAGAGCCUGGGCAGCGAGCGCCCCCGGCCCUGCGCCCCGCAGUGAGCUAUUUGGAUGUAUAGGGUGACACAGUAUGCCCUGAAGACCUUGAAAAUCUAUGAAGACAGCGGGUAGCAGAAUGGGAUACAGAAUACAAGUGUGCGUGUGCCUGCGAGCACAGUUGUCAGAGAUUUUUGCUCUCCUGACGUCCAGAGUGCACAAUCUACGCUCCUCUUCAGAUUUGAGGCUUUGGGAAGAACACUGGCAAGAAUAUGUCCUGGCUCACUUGAAACAACCUUGGGCAGGAAAGCUGGGUGCAGCCGCAGGUGGACUUUGUCCUUCAAAAACACCGUAUAGAGUGGCUCCGAGGUAAGGACCCUAAUCUCAGAGACCUUAAGGGCAGACGUUAUCGCCACCAGGAAUGACACCUUCCAGGAGAGAAGAAGAGAACAGGAAGCCAGUGGCUUGAAUAGGGCACCCAUGAGCUAUGCCAGCACUAGAUUCAGGUCCCAAGGAAGGAUGGGGUCCUGGACAUGGGGAUAGAGUCACUUGAGACCCUUCAAGAAGCAGACCGUCAUGUCGUGAGUGAAGACUGAGCUGCCCUGAACUGGAGGGUGAAAGGCUGAUAUAGUGGCCAAGUGGGUCUUAAUUGAUGAAAGGGACAAGCCCUGGAGCUUAAGAUGUAGCAGGUAGUCCAGGAUCGACUGCAGCGAAGCCUGCUCAGGCCUAAUACCCUGGUCCAAGGCCCAGCACGUGAAACGUUUCCAUUUGGCCAAGUAGGCUGCCCUGGUAGAGGGCUUCCUGCUGCCUGACAGUACCUGAUAUUCAUGGGCCAAGCACUUCUGCUCUUCCACAUUUAACCCUGCGGCAGCCAAGCCGUCGGAUGCAGCACUGCCACGUUCAGGUGCAGAAGACUGCUGUGGUUCUGGGACAACAAAUCUGGCCAGAGAAGCAGCUGCCACAGGGCCACCACCAAGAGAUCCAGCAAUGUGCUGGCAAGGCCAAGCCGGGACUAUUAGGAUUACCUUUUCCCUGUCCUAUUUGAUCUUCAUGAGGACUCUGUGGAUUAUCGGCACCAGCGGGAAGGCGUACAUCAGAGCCCCCGACCAUAGGAAUAAGAAGGCAUCUGACAGGCCUCUGUUGAUCCCCCAAAUCAAGCAAAACGCGUGAGAUUUCCUGUUCUGACAAGUCGCAAACAAGGCCACCUGGGAAGUUCCCCACCUUUGGAAGAUCACACUGACCACAUCGGGAUAGAGUGACCAUUCAUGGUGAGACGAGAAGGUCCUGCUGAGGUGAUCUGCUAGUAUGUUUCUGGUCACCGGGAGGUGCACGGCCACGAGAUGAAUGGCAUGCUGCACACAGAAGUCCCAGAGUUAGAGAGCUUCCUGGCAAAAGGCUGUCAACCUGGCUCCACCCUGCUUGUUGAUAUAAAACAUUGCGGUAGUGUUGUCCAUCAGGACUUGUACCACUUUGCCCUUCAAGUGGGACCAGAAAGUGCGGCAGGCCAAACCAACUGCUCUGCGCUCCCUGACAUUUAUGUGGAGGGAGCGGUUGUCCCGCAACCAGCGACUUUGCAUGCUGAGCUCAGCCAGGUGGACUCCUCUAGCCCAGGCCUGAGGCAUCAGAAACCAGGGUCAACAACGGGGCCGUGGCCAUGAAGGGAACCCCCUCCAACAGCGAUUCGGGGUCCAACUACCAUUCCAGUGACAACUGGAUGUGUUCCGGCAUCCUGACUACCAGGUCUAGAUCACUCCUGUUGGGUGUGUAGACCUGAUGUCAACUACGCUUGCAGCGGCCAGAGAUGGAGCCAGGCACGAUGGACCACAUAAGUACAAGCUGCCAUGUGGUCUAACAACCUCAGGCAGGAGCGGGCGGUGGUGAGUGGGUGGCCCCUUAUAUGGGAGAUCUAGUCCAACAUGGCUUGGAAAUGGGCCUCCAGAAGGAAGGCUCUGGCCUGCGUGGAGUUGAGGACUGCCCCUAUGAACUCUAUCCCUUGCACCAGUUUCUUUUAGUUUACUAAUAGGCCCAGGUCGUGACAGGUAGAACACACCAGAUUGAGACUUCUCUGCACUUGAUCCUGUGAUCUGCCCUUGAUGAGCCAAUCGUCGAGAUAAGGAUAGACCUCGACCCCUCAACAUCUCAGACCCCUGUUGAGGUUGCCAAGGCCUUGGGGAUGAGAGUGGCCAGAACUGCUUCCUUGUCGACUGAGGUGUAUGGAAACCCAGCAAGUGGAAGGUGGCCUGUGUGUCCUUUAGCCCAUACAGCCUCACAUCUGUCCAACCCCAUCGAACAGGAGGUCCUAGAUUUAGGACUGCAUCUCCCAGGACAGGCCCCCAACCAAGAACUGCACCUCAUGACCACCGCUGAAGCGACCACCCUGGCCACCGAAUCAGCUACACCAUUUGGAGGGACCCACUGUAUUACCCUCCUCAAUAAGGGUAAUAAGGGCCCUGAAUUCUUGGGCUGAGUCUUGGGGUAGGGAGUCCCAUAAGUUAAAGUUAUAUGUCCCCAAAAGAGCCUGGUGGUUUGUGACCCUGAACUGAACACUGGCCGAGGAAUAAAUUUUCCUUCAAAAAAAUCCUCUUGGCCUCUUUGUUUUUGGGGGUACACUGGAUUGCCCAUCUGUCUUUCUCGUGGGCUGCAGAAAUGACCAACGACCCCAGGGGAGAGUGGUUGUAUAAGUAUUCGAACCCAUUGGCUGGGACAAAAUACUUCUUUUCAGCCUUCUUGGAGGUGGGAGAGAUUGCAGAUGGGGUUUGCCAGAGGGCUUUGGCAAUCUUUAGGAUCCCAUCAUACACUGGAAACAUGAUGCGUGCGGGGUUGAUGCAGAAAGCACAUUAAACAAGGUGUCCAAUUGCUCCGCCGUCUUCUCCACCUCUAGGCCUACAUUCGUGGCCACCUUUCAGAGGAGGGCUUGGUGCUCCUUAAAAUAGUCUGGUGGGCUAGCGUGAGAGGGCCCCGCAACAGCCUCAUCUAGAGAGGAUUAGGACUUCUGGACCAUUGGGGGAGAGCCCGGGGCUUCAUACCCUAUGGGGGAUGAAGGUUUUGGGGUUGGCACUCACUCCUCCAUCCGGCAUCUGAUUGCACUUCAUGCACCAAUCCCAGUGCUGUCUGUCGCUUUUCUGAAGCAGUUACCGACGAUUGAUACAAAGGAGUCAUCGGCAUAACUAGCACAGCCCAGGUCCUUCAGGAUGGCCAAUGCGCCAGCUACUGGCUCUGCUGCCAGGACUGCAUCGCACAGGUGGACACAGCCUCAGAUGCCCAGUCGUGCUGGUGCUGCCUCGGUGAGGGGCUGAACUCCCUCUCCAUGCCGAAGGAAUCCCCUUCCAGUGACCACGGUCGGACCAUUGACACCUGAGUCUGGUGGCUAAGUGUCACCAUGGGUGAACAGUGCCUUGAAUAAGCGGAUCAGUGCCGGGAGUGGGAGGGAUCGGUACCGCGUUAGGGAACAUUCCCAUGGUCCAGUUGUCAGUGACCUACAUCGGGGAGACGGUUGGCGGGAGGAUGACCUAAACCAGCCAUACAGUGACCAGCAUGUCUCUCUCUGGGUGAACCUCCUCAAGAGGGUGGUUUCUGGGAGCACAGUGCCAGUGAUCUAAAGUGGUGAACUGGCUUGAUGUGGAGAUCUAGGGCGUGGUGAUUGAGUGCACUGCCUUGGCUCUGGGGUCCAGCAGUGUUCACUCUCCCUCUGGGAGGAUACUAUGGCUGGCUUGCCCUCACAGGAAGCCUUUGCCAGAGCCAUUGCAACAUGCAAUGCCAGCUGCGCUAGGAGUGUCCUUUGCUCUCUAGGCACCGGGAAGGCCUGGGAAAGCAGCAGCUCCGCCAAGGGUCUGGGACCCCUACCAUACCCUGGAGACAGUGGCAGAUCCCUUGGGGGGGGCUAUAAGCCUCCAAAUGGGGGACACUCUGAUGUGGUUCCAGGGUGGUCAGGCAGCCCAAACAGGGUUCUUUACCCCAUGCCCCUUGGUUUUUCUUGCUCAGUGCCAGGUCAUGCUUCUUCAAUUUCUUCUCGGGCACCAGUGAAGGGGAGCUGUGCCGGGUAGAACCGGCUGCCGGGGGUGCACUACGCAGCGAUGCCAAAGGGCUGGGAGUCUAAUCUGGCCUUGUGCUCCUUCUGUGUUCUGUGACGAAAGUUCUUACAGAUGCGACACUUUUUACAUGUGAUUCCCCCAAGCACUUCAGGCAGCUGCUGUGGGAGUCACUAACAGGCAUAGGCCUGUUACAGUCAGUGCAGGGCUUAAAACCCUGCAACCAGGGGAAAGAACUGAGAGGGCAUAGGGCUGCUGGCGCCUAAUAUACCAACACAUGAGCAAGACACUCCAGAGGGUGCCACAGCUGACCCUACAGAUACCGCUAAGGUGUGUGCACAUCUAGAAUGGAAGCCACAUGAGCAAGAACUUGAAGAAGAAUGUAUAUUAUGAAUAGACUAUAUGAUGCUUGCAGUCCCUUCUAACCCUACGGUUCUAUGAUCACAAACAACUUUACAUUAUGUUUACUUAAUGAUAGAUUCAACUGUUGAUCAAAUGUUUUUAAGGCUUAAAGAUCCCCUUUCACAAGCCAGCUGUUUAAAGGGAUGCUAUUUGAAUUGACUAUCAUCAGCUCAAUUGAACUGCAAAACAUAUUUUGACUUACAGAUGUGUUUGUAAAAUGUGGCAUUAGAAACAAAUUUUAAAUUACAGGAAGAAUGUCUUUAUAGCUCUUAAGAGUAAUAUUUACAAUUCUGUAAGCUGCUCCAUCUCAAAAUACAUGAAAAGUCGCAAAAGCAAGUACACAGUAUAAAUGAUAGCUAAUUUAAUUACACUUUAUGCUAAGCUUUUACCUAUAUAGAAUAUUUACUGUACAAUACAUUAUUAUACAAUACUUUUGAAAGUCAAUCAUUGUUA